AUUGAACGCUGGCGGAAUGCUUUACACAUGCAAGUCGAACGGUAGAGGGGGCAACCCCUCGAGAGUGGCGAACGGGUGAGUAAUAUAUCGGAACGUGCCCAGUCGUGGGGGAUAACGUAGCGAAAGUUACGCUAAUACCGCAUACGAACUAAGGAUGAAAGCGGGGGAUCGCAAGACCUCGCGCGAUUGGAGCGGCCGAUAUCAGAUUAGGUAGUUGGUGGGGUAAAGGGGCACCAAGCCAACGAUCUGUAGCUGGUCUGAGAGGACGACCAGCCACACUGGAACUGAGACACGGUCCAGACUCCUACGGGAGGCAGCAGUGGGGAAUUUUGGACAAUGGACGCAAGUCUGAUCCAGCCAUUCCGCGUGCAGGAUGAAGGCCCUCGGGUUGUAAACUGCUUUUGUACGGAACGAAAAGGUCUCUCUUAAUACGGGGGACUCAUGACGGUACCGUAAGAAUAAGCACCGGCUAACUACGUGCCAGCCGCCGCAGUAACAC
rnacentral:rRNA from 1 species